CUAAUUUACUGCUGUUUUAGCAGGCCAUUCUGUUCCAAGAUCUCAGCAACUAACUUGAAAAUAACAAUGUUGUAUGAGAAAAAGAAA